UACGUAGGUGGCAAGCGUUGUUCGGAAUUAUUGGGCGUAAAGGGCGCGUAGGCGGCUCGUUAAGUCGGCUGUGAAAGCCCGGGGCUCAACCCCGGAGGGUCGACCGAUACUGGCGAGCUAGAGUACGGAAGAGGUAGCUGGAAUUCCCGGUGUAGCGGUGAAAUGCGUAGAUAUCGGGAAGAACACCGGUGGCGAAGGCGGCUCACUGGCUCGUUUCUGACGCUCAGGCGC
rnacentral:rRNA from 1 species